GGGUUGAACCGUGGUCGGCUUGAAUUUCCGUACCGGUUCCACACAUCUUACAAAACCCUUCCGCCCCUUCUGGCUCGUAUUCGUUCAACUUUCACUCCUCCAUUGCUGCUAUUGCCGCUGCUGUCUUUCUUCUUCGCCCGGCGAACGCAAUAUUGCCGCUUCACUAAGUCAGCGGCUGUGGUUCCACUGAAGUAUUCUUUUGGCAGAGACACUUGUUGAUGCUAUUCACUUCUUCUGGUUCUUCAUAAGUUUCUCUGUUUGAGGAGAACAAAGAAUGCUAGGCAAUUUGCCAAUCUUGCCUCUUCCAGCGCCACCGGCUGAUGGAGAUCUUGGGCCUCUUCCACCAUCCCAGGUACCAAGUGAAGAAGAGAAUGCUACAAAUGAAGAAGAGAGCAGGUCAAAUUCGGUUCCAACACCUGUUGCGACUCAUACAAGGACUAUAGGGAUUAUACAUCCUCCUCCAGAUAUCAGGAAUAUCGUGGACAAAACUGCCCAAUUUGUUGCAAAAAAUGGACCUGACUUUGAAAAAAGAAUCAUUGCCAGCAAUGCUCAUAAUGCCAAGUUCAACUUUUUGAGCCCUACAGAUGCCUACCAUACAUACUAUCAACAUCGAUUGUCUGAAUUUCGUUCCCAAAAUCAAUCUUCUGCCCAGCCUGCUGAUUCCAUACCAGAGUCAGCUCCACUGGCUCCUGCUGCUGAUGGCAGUGAAGCUGUUGCAAAACCCGACACUGCAGCUCAGUUUAAAUUACCUGUGCGAAAGGUUCUUGAGCCCCCGGAAGCUGAGCAAUAUACUGUCCGGCUUCCUGAAGGGAUUACAGGUGAAGAACUGGACAUCAUUAAGCUAACAGCUCAGUUUGCGGCUCGAAAUGGUAAAUCAUUCUUGACAGGAUUGGCAAGUAGGGAGAUGAACAAUCCCCAGUUCCAUUUUUUAAAGCCAACUCAUAGCAUGUUCAUGUUUUUUACUGCCCUUGCGGAUGCCUAUUCACGAGUUUUGAUGCCUCCAAAAAGUUUGUCGGAAAAGCUGAAGAGGAGUGUUACUGACAUGACUACCGUGCUUGAACGAUGUUUGCAUCGCUUGGAGUGGGAGCGUUCGCAGGAGCAAGCUAGGCAGAAAGCAGAGGAUGAGAUUGAACAGGAGAGGUUGCAAAUGGCUAUGAUUGACUGGCAUGAUUUUGUUUUGGUCGAGACUAUAGAUUUUGCUGAUGAUGAGGAUGAGGAGUUACCUCCUCCAAUGACCCUUGAGGAGGUUGUAAGGAGGAGUAAGGUGUCUGCUAUGGAUGAGGAUGAGUUUGUUGAGCCUGGAAAAGCUGUAGAAAUGGAAAUGGAUGAAGAAGAGGUGCAGCUUGUUGAAGAGGGCAUGAAGGCUGCCAGCCUUGAAGAGAAUGAUGGUGAAAAGAAGGUGAAGGCGAACGAGGAGCCAGAGCCACCAAUGAGAAUUGUAAAGAACUGGAAGAGACCGGAGGAGAGGAUCCCUGCUGAAAGAGACCCAACGAAGUUCACCGUAUCCCCAAUUACUGGUGAACUAAUUCCAAUUAAUGAGAUGUCUGAGCACAUGAGGAUUUCCCUUAUUGAUCCAAAGUAUAAGGAGCAAAAGGAAAGGAUGUUUGCUAAGAUUCGAGAGACAACUCUUGCGCAGGAUGAUGAGAUUGCCAAAAAUAUUGUGGGACUUGCACGAACCCGUCCUGAUAUCUUUGGUACGACGGAGGAAGAAGUUUCUAAUGCCGUCAAGGCAGAGAUUGAGAAGAAGAAAGAUGAGCAGCCAAAACAAGUCAUAUGGGAUGGUCACACUGGCAGCAUUGGACGCACUGCGAAUCAAGCUAUGUCUCAAAACAUCAAUGGGGAAGAUCAGAAUGAUGCUAGUAACAAUGAUGGGUGGUCCCUUCCUGGUCCUAUGGCUCCUCCUCGACCUGGUUUGCCAUCCAUUCGUCCCCUCCCUCCACCACCUGGUCUGGCCUUGAAUCUUCCUCGACCCCCUAAUGCAGUUCAAUAUUCAGCUCCAACUAGUGGUGGAUAUCCUGUACCCCCACCCCGGCCACCAGGAAUGCCAAUGAUGCCAUCAAUUCCUCCACCACAGCCACCAUUGCCAACUGGACAGCAACCAAUGAUGAUGCAUCGUCCACACCAAAUGCAUCCACCUAUGUCUAUGAACCAACCUGGUAUUUCUGUUCCACCUCCACCUGGAUCUCAGUUUACUCCAUUACCAGUUCCCAGACCUUUUGCCCCUUUGGCUGUUCCUCCUCCUACCAUGCAUAUGAUGCCGCCACCCCCACCUCCUCAAGGAAUGCCGCCACCGCCACCACCUGAUGAUGCUCCUCCACCACUUCCAGAUGAACCAGAACCAAAGAGGCAAAAGCAAGAUGAUUCUAUGCUUAUUCCUGAAGAUCAAUUUCUGGCUCAACAUCCGGGACCUGUUCGCAUCAAUGUGUCUGUUCCCAAUGUUGAUGAAGGAAAUCUCAAAGGGCAAGUCCUGGAGAUUACAAUGCAAUCCUUGUCUGAAACAGUUGGCAGUCUGAAGGAGAAAAUAUCAGGGGAGAUCCAACUACCAGCAAACAAACAGAAAUUGAGUGGAAAAGCUGGUUUUCUCAAGGACAAUAUGUCACUUGCGUAUUACAAUUUUGGAGCAGGGGAAACACUCACUCUGUCUUUGAGAGAGCGUGGUGGUAGAAAGAGAUAAUUGGGCUUCUUGACCAGAUUAAUUAAGGUUUUUGUUGGACCAUUCUCAUUUUGAUGAGAAAUUCCCUAGUUUUUAACAUUUUAUUUGGGAUCAUGGUAUUUUUGCUUAUCAUGCUAUACUGGAUAUUAUAUUGGUUAUGUAUCACCAAAAUUUCUAUGUGAAACUAUUACUGCUUCUGAACAGAUGGAAAAUGUGGUAUCUACUUCAGAUCUGAUGCCAAUGCGAGUCUCUCAAGGGCAAUGGGAAGUAGAGGUUAUUCUUUUGUAGAUAGGAUGUGAGUGUACAUGGCACGUGGAUCUGCAGAUGGUUUAUACAGUUUUUACCUGGGAUGUACACCAAUAGAAUGCUUAUUUGUUUGGCUGGAUAGUUUGUGUGACCCAUCAGAUACCACAUGUCUAAAGAAUGUUUGAGGCAGCAUUGACCUGGAUUGGUGGCUGUUCAAGGUGGAAGAGAGUAUAUUAAAGUUAUUCAUUCAAUUUUUUCCCGUUAGGUUGUCUCCUGAUUAUGGUCUUGCAAUGCGUAUUGAACUUUCUGAUAUCUUCUAGUUAGAACUUGGAUGAGGCAUGCAAUGUGGGCUCAGUCAAGCUAGUAGUUUUCGUUCAGACGACAACGCUGAAAAGAUUUAUGGAUCUAACUUCUAAGGCA